rnacentral:rRNA from 1 species
GGCGGCGUGCUUACACAUGCAAGUCGAACGAGAAAUCUUUAGCUUGCUAGAGAAAGUAAAGUGGCGCACGGGUGAGUAACGCGUGGGUAAUCUGCCUCCGAAUCGGGGAUAACAUUGCGAAAGCGACGCUAAUACCGGAUAAAAUCUGGUUGGCUUCGGUGAACCGGAUCAAAGGUGGUCUCUUUAUAAAAGCUACCGUUUGGAGAUGAGCUCGCGUACCAUUAGCUAGUUGGUGAGGUAAAGGCUCACCAAGGCGACGAUGGUUAGCUGGUCUGAGAGGAUGAUCAGCCACACCGGAACUGGAACACGGUCCGGACUCCUACGGGAGGCAGCAGUGAGGAAUUUUGCGCAAUGGGGGAAACCCUGACGCAGCAACGCCGCGUGAGUGAUGAAGGCUUUCGGGUCGUAAAGCUCUGUCGGGUGGGAAGAACCCACCAAGUGUUAAGACCACUUGGUGCUGACGGUACCACCGAAGGAAGCACCGGCUAACUCCGUGCCAGCAGCCGCGGUAAUACGGGGGGUGCGAGCGUUAUUCGGAAUCAUUGGGCGUAAAGGGCGCGCAGGCGGUUUUGUAAGUCAGAUGUGAAAUCCCGGGGCUUAACCCCGGAAGUGCAUAUGAAACUAUGAGACCUGAGUAUGGGAGAGGGAAGCGGAAUUCCUGGUGUAGCGGUGAAAUGCGUAGAUCUCAGGAGGAACACCGGUGGCGAAGGCGGCUUCCUGGACCAAUACUGACGCUGAGGCGCGAAGGCGUGGGGAGCGAACCCAGGAUUAGAUACCCUGGUAGUCCACGCAGUAAACGUUGAUCACUAGGUGUAGCGGGUAUUGACCCCUGCUGUGGCCGGAGUUAACGCAUUAAGUGAA